rnacentral:siRNA from 1 species
UAAUUGAUGAAAAUGCCUAUGA